rnacentral:hammerhead_ribozyme from 1 species
GUCCGGCUGACGAGUCCCAAAUAGGACGAAACGCGUGCCUGGAU